rnacentral:lncRNA from 1 species
ACAUGCAAAAACAUAUAAUAAUGAAGGUGUAUAAAACAUAGCUGUUUUUGGCAAAAAGAAUCAAUUCUUUCUAGUGCCUUAAUUCUGGGGCUACACAUUUGCAGCUCUUACAACUUAUCUGCGAUAAUCUGUCAAAGUACUGCAUGCAUCAAACAUUUGCUAGGAUAGCUGAAAGCUGAAACUAUCCGGCACAAGGACCAUCUAAUUUUCCAAGGCUGUUAGUCACUAUGUGUGAACAAGGCCCUCAAAACUCUACCCGAGCAAACACGACGUUCCAUCUCCGAAUAGAAAGUGAGGCACCCAGCAAAAACUCCCUUUGCAGAGACAACGCCACAUCCUUAAGUUAGUUCUACACCCUUCAUCAGCAUGAAGAAAGAACGUAUGAAAGCAGAAAUUAACAGCAGUCACAAGCAAUAAUCAACGGCAAGCAACACCAGGUAAAGACAUGAAACGACACAAUGCAUGGAACACACACAGUUAGAACCGGGUAAAUAACUGAAUCUGAAAUGAGUAUAAGAAAAGAAAAUGCUUAGGAGGAGAUGAAACCUUGGCACGACGAAAGAGAGCAGCCGAGGCGUCGAGCGAGCUGAACUGCAGCUGAAUCUUCACAAAACUGGAGUGAGGAGGCGAGCUGACCGGGAUGGAAAACAGAUGGAGGCAGAAACAACUGGCUGCUCAACAAAAUGAUGGCAGCGGUUAAAUGCAAGAAAAAGAAUAGGGUCCUGAACACAUGCCUUCUUAAAUUCGAUCAAGGUUUUAUCGGUACAGAGUAAUGAAGCUUGUCAACAUAAUUUGUUUUAUUCUAAUAUAUGAGAAGCAUGAUACAAGCGCAUGCAUAGAUUAAGAAAAACAUCAAUGACACACACUAGUGAGAGGCAAACGUGCCGAGAGAUUGCUGACUAUUAGAUCAUAAUCUAUUUACAACAUGUAAAAUUAGCAUUUUACCUUAUAAAAUUCAGGCUAACCAACUUACCAAGCUAGGAAAGCAAAAGGCAUACAAUGCAUAUAAUCUAUGGAAUACCGAGGCAAGCAAUAGGAUGAACCUGUCUUUGGUGAGGUCUGAAUCUAUACCUAUUUACAGUGUUACUGCACCGAGUCCGUAAAUCUCGCAAACUUGG